GACGAACGCUGGCGGCGUGCUUAACACAUGCAAGUCGAACGGAAAGGCCCUGCUUUUGUGGGGUGCUCGAGUGGCGAACGGGUGAGUAACACGUGAGUAACCUGCCCUUGACUUUGGGAUAACUUCAGGAAACUGGGGCUAAUACCGGAUAGGAGCUCCUGCUGCAUGGUGGGGGUUGGAGAGUUUCGGCGGUUGGGGAUGGACUCGCGGCUUAUCAGCUUGUUGGUGGGGUAGUGGCUUACCAAGGCUUUGACGGGUAGCCGGCCUGAGAGGGUGACCGGACACAUUGGGACUGAGAUAGGGCCCAGACUCAUACGGGAGGGAGGAGUGGGGAAUAUUGCACAAUGGGCGGAAGUCUGAUGGAGCAACGCCGCGUGCGGGAUGACGGCCUUCGGGUUGUAAACCGCUUUCGCCUGUGACGAAGCGUGAGUGACGGUAAUGGGUAAAGAAGCACCGGCUAACUACGUG
rnacentral:rRNA from 1 species